UUCUUGGUUGGAGGCUCUAACGACAUACCAGCGAUCAAGACGAAAGUGCUACUGGGGGUAGUGGAUGUAACAGCACAAUAUAGGUGGCGAAGCUAGUGCCUAUUCCAUGAACGACUGGCGGGU
rnacentral:ncRNA from 1 species